CCUACGGGUGGCAGCAGUGGGGAAUAUUGCACAAUGGGCGAAAGCCUGAUGCAGCAACGCCGCGUGAGCGAUGAAGGCCUUCGGGUCGUAAAGCUCUGUCCUCAAGGAAGAUAAUGACGGUACUUGAGGAGGAAGCCCCGGCUAACUACGGGCCAGCAGCCGCGGUAAUACGUAGGGGGCUAGCGUUAUCCGGAAUUACUGGGCGAAAAGGUGGCGUAGGUGGUUUCUUAUAGCAGUGGGAAAAGGCUACGGCUCAACCGGAGUAAGCCUUUGAAACUGGGGAACUUGAGUGCAGGAAAGGAGAGUGGAAUUCCUAGUGUAGCGGUGAAAUGCGUAGAUAUUAGGAGGAACACCAGUUGCGAAUGCGGCUCUCUGGACUGUAACUGACACUGAGGCACGAAAGCGUGGGGAGCAAACAGGAUUAGAUACCCGUGUAGUC
rnacentral:rRNA from 1 species